rnacentral:rRNA from 1 species
CGGCGAGUGAAGCGGCAAGAGCUCAAAUUUGAAAGCUGGCUCCUUCGGGGUCCGCAUUGUAAUUUGCAGAGGAUGCUUCGGGUGCGGCCCCUGUCUAAGUGCCCUGGAACGGGCCGUCAGAGAGGGUGAGAAUCCCGUCUGGGAUGGGGUGUCCGCGCCCGUGUGAAGCUCCUUCGACGAGUCGAGUUGUUUGGGAAUGCAGCUCUAAAUGGGUGGUAAAUUUCAUCUAAAGCUAAAUACUGGCCGGAGACCGAUAGCGCACAAGUAGAGUGAUCGAAAGAUGAAAAGCACUUUGAAAAGAGAGUUAAAAAGCACGUGAAAUUGUUGAAAGGGAAGCGCUUGCGACCAGACUCGCCUCCAGGGUUCAGCCGGCAUUCGUGCCGGUGUACUUCCCUGGGGGCGGGCCAGCGUCGGUUUGGGCGGCCGGUCAAAGGCUCCCGGAAUGUAGUGCCCUCCGGGGCACCUUAUAGCCGGGAGUGCAAUGCGGCCAGCCUGGACCGAGGAACGCGCUUCGGCACGGACGCUGGCAUAAUGGUCGUAAACGACCCGUCUUGAAACACGGACCAAGGAGUCUAACAUCUACGCGAGUGUUCGGGUGUCAAACCCGUACGCGCAGUGAAAGCGAACGGAGGUGGGAGCCCCCUCGUGGGGCGCACCAUCGACCGAUCCUGAAGUCUUCGGAUGGAUUUGAGUAAGAGCGUAAAUGUGGGGACCCGAAAGAUGGUGAACUAUGCCUGAAUAGGGCGAAGCCAGAGGAAACUCUGGUGGAGGCUCGCAGCGGUUCUGACGUGCAAAUCGAUCGUCAAAUUUGGGUAUAGGGCGAAAGAC